UACAGAGGGGGCAAGCGUUGUUCGGAAUUACUGGGCGUAAAGGGCGCGUAGGCGGCCUUCUAAGUCAUGCGUGAAAUCCCCGGGCUCAACCCGGGAACUGCGUCUGAUACUGGAAGGCUUGAAUCCGGGAGAGGGAUGUGGAAUUCCAGGUGUAGCGGUGAAAUGCGUAGAUAUCUGGAGGAACACCGGUGGCGAAGGCGGCAUCCUGGACCGGUAUUGACGCUGAGGCGCGAAAGCCAGGGGAGCAAACGGG
rnacentral:rRNA from 1 species